rnacentral:rRNA from 1 species
CCUACGGGCGGCAGCAGUGGGGAAUAUUGCGCAAUGGGCGAAAGCCUGACGCAGCGACGCCGCGUGAGGGAUGAAGGUCUUCGGAUCGUAAACCUCUGUCAGCAGGGAAGAACGGUCACUGUGCUAAUCAGCAGUGAAUUGACGGUACCUGCAAAGGAAGCACCGGCUAACUCCGUGCCAGCAGCCGCGGUAAUACGGAGGGUGCGAGCGUUAAUCGGAAUUACUGGGCGUAAAGCGCUCGUAGGCGGUAUGUCAAGUCAAGGGUGAAAGCCCCGCGCUCAACGGGGGAACUGCCUUUGAAACUGGCAAACUGGAGUGGGGGAGAGGAUAGUGGAAUUCGAGGUGUAGGAGUGAAAGGCGUAGAUAUCUGGAGGAACAUCAGUGGCGAAGGCGACUAUCUGGCACAUAACUGACGCUGAGGAGCGAAAGCGUGGGUAGCAAACAGGAUUAGAUACCCUGGUAGUC